UACAGAGGGUGCAAGCGUUGUUCGGAUUCACUGGGCGUAAAGGGUGCGCAGGUGGGUUUGCAAGUUUGAUGUGAAAGCCCCGGGCUUAACCCGGGAAUGGCAUUGAAUACUGCAGAUCUGGAGGAUUGGAGGGGGGACUGGAAUUCUUGGUGUAGCAGUGAAAUGCGUAGAUAUCAAGAGGAACACCAGUGGGCGAAGGCGGGUCUCUGGACAGUUCCUGGACGCUGAGGCACGGAAGGCCAGGGGAGCAAACGGG
rnacentral:rRNA from 1 species